AGUCGUAACAAGGUCUCCGUUGGUGAACCUGCGGAAGGAUCAUUACCUAGAGUUGUAGGCUUUGCCUACCAUCUCUUACCCAUGCCUUUUGAGUACCUUCGUUUCCUCGGCGGGUCCGCCCGCCGAUUGGACAAACUUAAACCCUUUGUAAUUGAAUCCAGCGUCUGAAAAACAUAAUAGUUACAA
rnacentral:misc_RNA from 1 species